rnacentral:rRNA from 1 species
GACGAACGCUGGCGGCGUGCCUAACACAUGCAAGUCGAGCGGGGAUUUAAGUGGAAGUUCUUCGGAAUGGAGAUUUAAAUUCUAGCGGCGGACGGGUGAGUAACGCGUGAACAAUCUGUCCCGGACAGGGGGAUAACACUUGGAAACAGGUGCUAAUACCGCAUAAGACCACGGCCUCGCAUGGGGCUGAGGUCAAAGGAGCAAUCCGGUUCGGGGUGAGUUCGCGUCCGAUUAGCUAGUUGGUGAGGUAACGGCCCACCAAGUCGACGAGCGGUAGCCGGCCUGAGAGGGGGAACGGCCACGUUGGAACUGGGAGGCAGUCCAAACGCCUACGGGAGGCAGCGGUGGAGAAUAUUGGACAAAGGGCGAAAGCCUGACCAAGCAACGCCGCGUGAGGGAAGAAGGUUUUCGGAAUGUAAACCUCUGUCCUAUGGGACGAAGGAAGUGACGGUACCAUAGGAGGAAGCCCCGGCUAACUACGUG